AUACACAGAGAACCACGUGGAGGAAAAGCACGCGAGUUUGGAGCGGGUGGAGCAGGAACAGAGGUGGACUGGAAUGUCACACGACGGGGCAGCUGGAAGGGCACCACUGAGUUCAGUACUUCAAAAUUGCCGUGCUCUACCUCUCCCCAGUGCACAAAAACACUCUCCACACCAAGCUGCUGCUGCUGGGGGAUGGAGGGAUGGCGUCAGCGAUUCAAGACUGUUUUUCCUACCUGUUCAGCACUUCUUUCAGCGAUAUGAAGUUAAAUCCAGGUCUGGAGGCUGGAAAGUCCAAGGUCAAGGCAUCAGCAGAUUCAGUGCCUAGUGAGGGGUCUGUUCCUCAUUGAUGGUGUCUCCUUGCUGUGUCUUCACAUGAUGGAAGAAGCAAACAAGCUCCCUGAGGCCUCUUUCAUUUUUCUAUUUAAUUUUUUUCAUUUUUAUUUUUAAUUUUUUUAUUUUACUUUAAGUUCUGGGAACAUGCAGGUUUGUUACACAGGUAUACAUGUGCCAUGGUGGUUUGCUGCACCUAUCAACCCAUCAUCUAGGUUUUAAGCCUGGUAUGCAUUAGGUAUUUGUCCUAAUGCUCUCCCUCCCCAUGCUCCCCACCCCGCAACAGGCCCCAGUGUGUGAUAUUCCCCUCCCUCUGUCCGUGUAUUCUCAUUGUUCAUCUCCCACUUAUGAGUGAGAAUAUGUGGUGUUUAGUUUUCUGUUCCUGUGUUAGUUUGCUGAGAAUGAUGGCUUCCAGCUUCAUCCACGUCCCUGCAAAGGACAUGAACUCAUCCUUUUUUAUGGCUGCAUAGUAUUCCAUGGUGUAUAUAUGCCACAUUGUCUUUAUCCAGUCUGUCAUUGAUGGGCAUUUGCAUUGGUUCCAAGUCUUUGCUAUUGUAAAUAAUGCUGCAGUA
rnacentral:lncRNA from 1 species